AGCCCGACGCGGGGCUCGAACCCACGAACGGUGAGAUCGUGACCUGAACUGAAGUUGGAUGCUUAACCGACUGAGCCACCCAGGUGCCCCUAAGUUUUUAUUAUUUUUAAGUAAUCUCUGCACCCACUGGGGCUCAGACUUAAUAACCCAGACAUCAGGAGUCCCACGCUCCACCGACUGAGCCAGCCCUAUCAUAGAAGUCUUUGUAAAAUGAGUCAAGACUAUUAUUCUGUCACGAUGUGGCUUUGGUAUCUCAACCUGGUACUUAGCAACGUCAGUAUUAUUCAAUGCAUUAAAUUUUUGUUAGGAAGAGGUAGUUUUCAGGAUCUCAGGUAUCCCUGGGGAGGGUGUGUUUCUAUCCCUGGCUCCUUUCCUAACUCUCCUUCAGCAUUCUGACAGUCGCAAGCGGGCCUGGGACUUGGGUGGGUGAGGGAGAGAUCAGGAAAGAGCACAGUGCUUGGAGUCAGGACACUUAGCUGAUCCACCUCGGGUGAGUUGUGUAACUUUGCUGCCCUGUAGUCACUCCGUCUUGUAAGUACGUACAGAAAAUGACCUCAGCCUACCUGUUGAGUUGUUGUGGGAGUCAAACAAGGUAACAGAUACAGCAAACGUUUGGGAAAAUGCUGUCAAAAGAUUUCAAAAUGGAUUUAAGAAAAUUUUAUUUGUCUUUCUUUAUUUUUGAGAGAGACAAAGCAUGAGAGGGGGAGGGGUAGAGAGAGAGGGAGACACAGAAUCCGAAGCAGGCUCCGGGCUCUGAGCUGUCAGCACAGAGCCGACCGGGGACUCAAACCCGCAAACCACGAGAUCGUGACCUGAGCCAAAGUCAGAUGCUUAACUGAUGAGCCACCCAUGCACCCCUCAAAGUAGAUCUUCAGCCCGCCAUCAUUUCAAAAAGGAUUUGAGGCAACUAAGUGCCAAGAUGUAAGAUGGUUUUCCUGUUCUUACCAGUCCUGAGCCGUAGACCCCGUGGUCACUCUCCCAUGUGACUGUGUUCCCGUGCCCCCGGCCCCCAGACAGGCAGCUCCUUAUCGUCGGUCCUCGGUGAGGGGGAGUUUCUGACACCUGCUCGCUAGCGAAGGCAAGCUAACCUGGCAGUCCUGCCCGCUGUUCGCUCCGGUUCCGCGCUCCCGUUUCCUCCGCAAACAUCUCCUCCUGCCGGGAGCCUGCAGGGCGCACCUGUAAGCGGCAGGGGGUGGGCGCGUUGAGCGGCCCUGAGCCCAAAGGACCUAAGAGCAAAGACAGGCUCCUGCAUUGCCACGGGAACCCUCACGCUCAAAAGCGAACAGGCGGAAGCAUUCAUGUCCCUCAGCCGGAAACAGGCCUUUCCCGUGCUGUCCCCGAGACCCAUGGGGUGUAAAUCAGGGCGUCCCAGGAAAGUUUCCAAAGCACCCAAAUCCACCCAGGAAACUAGACGCGUUCUUUUCCAACCACACAAGUGGGAUAGACCGCUUGGAGCCGCCUGCAUGGACUUUGGCAGCAGGUCGCGUUGAAAAACCACUUACAACACCAAGCCUUGUGUGCAAAGCUAUUCCCUGAAGCGCCGUGUGCAAAAGCAAAAAGAAUGUGGUAAUAGCUGUGCUGAUCUGAAAGUAUCAGGAUACGUACGCUAUUAAGGAAAAAAUGCGUGUAGCAAAACUGCGUAAUCUGCUUCCUUUUAGGGCGCCUGGGGGGCUCCAUCGGUUGAGCAUCCGACUCAGGUCUUGAGAUUGAGCCCUGCGACAGGCCCCGUGCCGAGCCGCGGAGCCCAGUGUGGGGCUCGAACUCACAAAUGGCGAGAUCAUAACCACGAGUCGGCCGCUUUACUGACUGAGCCACACAGGCUCCCCAAGAAAAGCCUAAACCUUCGGGUGGAAGGACUCCAGCGGUGGGAAGGCACUAUUUUCUCCAUCUGAUCCUUCGGUUUGCAUUUUCUAACUAUGAGUAUUUUUUUAAGUGUCAUUUGGAUUUUGCUUUCUUUUGUGUGUGUGUGUUAAUGCAUGUUUUUAAGGUACUCAUGUGUUUUAAAAUACCCUCAAAAACCAUCAAAAUAUUCACGACAAUUUAGUCAUGAUGAAAACAUGCCGGAUAAAGCAGUGUGGUGCAUAUUUAAUUGACAUGAAAUCUAUACAUUCUUUACGUCUCCUUUUCAUCACCUGUGUCUUCUGUGUGCCCAGACUGCUAACUGAAUGUACCCACCCCUUUCUCUCAUUUGGUUAAAUUCAUCUGGGGAAUAAAGGGCAAAAAGACACUCCUAUUUAUUAACUUUGAAAAGUAGCUAAAUAAUUCACGGCCCCUGGAGUCUGCAUGGUAGACAGCAAGCCCUUUGGGCAGCAUUCCUCAUUCUUAGUGUCAUAUGUGCUGUUUGUUCGCUUCUCUGGCAUUAUGAUCAUUGAAGAACAGUCCAUGGUAAAACACAA